rnacentral:lncRNA from 1 species
CUUUCUUCUCCUUCUUUCACCCUCCGUCUCUCACACCCCCUCCAUUCCCCUGUCUCCUUUCUGACACUGCACUGCAGCUGCUCCUCAGCCCUGCCCCCUCCCCAGUGAGAACAAACCAGCAACAUUGCUUUUUUUCCUAAAGAGAUUUCUAUUGAUCCGAUUAAAAAAACCCAAACCUUAAGAAACCCCAAGCGCAAAAAAGAAAAGAAAAAGCCAAAACAAAAGGG